GAUAAUACCUAUGAGUAAAAAGCUUCUAACUUUUAAACUAAGCGGAUAAUACCGUUUUAUUAUCU
rnacentral:tRNA from 1 species